UUUCCCCGCGGGCCCGGGCUCU
rnacentral:miRNA from 1 species